UACGGGGGGGGCAAGCGUUGUUCGGAAUUACUGGGCGUAAAGGGCUCGUAGGCGGCCAACUAAGUCCGACGUGAAAUCCCCAGGCUUAACCUGGGAACUGCGUCGGAUACUGGAUGGCUUGAAUUCGGGAGAGGGAUGCAGAAUUCCAGGUGUAGCGGUGAAAUGCGUAGAUAUCUGGAGGAAUACCGGUGGCGAAGGCGGCAUCCUGGACCGACAUUGACGCUGAUGAGCGAAAGCUAGGGGAGCAAACGGGGAU
rnacentral:rRNA from 1 species